rnacentral:rRNA from 1 species
UCUAACAUGUGCGCGAGUCAUUGGGUAAUUUAAUUUUUACGAAUUAAGCCUAAAGGCGCAAUGAAAGUGAAGAUACGGCAGGCACUCGUGCCUCAGCCGAUCGAGGGAGGAUGGCUCGCGUCACGAUGCGAGCUCGCACUCCCGGGGCGUCUCGUGCUCAUUGCGAGCAGAGGCGCACCCAGAGCGUACACGUUGGGACCCGAAAGAUGGUGAACUAUGCCUGGUCAGGACGAAGUCAGGGGAAACCCUGAUGGAGGUCCGUAGCGAUUCUGACGUGC